rnacentral:rRNA from 1 species
UACAGAGGGUGCAAGCGUUAAUCGGAUUUACUGGGCGUAAAGGGCGCGUAGGUGGUUGUGUAAGUGAGGUGUGAAAUCCCCGGGCUUAACCUGGGAACUGCAUCUUAAACUGCAUAGCUGGAGUACAUGAGAGGGUAGUGGAAUUUCCGGUGUAGCGGUGAAAUGCGUAGAUAUCGGAAGGAACACCAGUGGCGAAGGCGGCUACCUGGCAUGAUACUGACACUGAGGCGCGAGAGCGUGGGGAGCAAACAGG